rnacentral:rRNA from 1 species
AUCGACGAACUUCUUUGAAGUGAGUGGUGAACGGGUGAGUAAUCCUAUGUCUAAUCUACCCCAAUGUGGGGGAUAACUAUCUGAAAAGGUAGCUAAUACCGCAUAGGACAUUUGAUGGUAUCUUCGAAUGUUUAAAGGUGCGUUUGCACCGCAAUGGGAUGAGGACAUACGACAUUAGCUAGUUGGUAGGGUAAUGGCCUACCAAGGCGACGAUGUCUAGCCGGGUUGAGAGACCGACCGGCCACAAGGGGACUGAGACACGGCCCCUACUCCUACGGGAGGCUGCAGUAGGGAAUUUUCCACAAUGGACGAAAGUCUGAUGGAGCAAUGCCGCGUGAGGGAUGACACAUUUCGGUGCGUAAACCUCUGUUGUUAGGGAAGAACAACCUAGACAGGAAAUGGCCUAGGCUUGACGGUACCUUUCCAGAAAGUCACGGCAAACUAUGUGCCAGCAGCCGCGGUAAUACAUAGGUGGCAAGCGUUAUCCGGAUUUAUUGGGCGUAAAGAGUGCACAGGUGGUCAAGUAAGUCAGAUGUUAAAUACUGGGGCUCAACCCCAGCCUGCAUUUGAAACUGCUAGACUCGAAUAUCGGUGGGAGUAGUGGAAUUCCAUGUGUAGCGGUGGAAUGCAUAAAUAUAUGGAGGAACACCAGUGGCGAAGGCGGCUACUUGAGCGAUUAUUGACACUUAAGCACGAAAGCGUGGGGAGCAAAUAGGAUUAGAUACCCUAGUAGUCCACGCCGUAAACGAUCUUGACUAGCUGUCGGUUUAACCGGUGGCGCAGCUAACGCAUUAAGUCAAGCGCCUGGGGAGUACGUGCGCAAGCAUAAAACUCA